UACGUAGGGUGCAAGCGUUAAUCGGAAUUACUGGGCGUAAAGCGUGCGCAGGCGGUGAUGUAAGACAGUUGUGAAAUCCCCGGGCUCAACCUGGGAGCUGCAUCUGUGACUGCAUCGCUGGAGUACGGUAGAGGGGGAUGGAAUUCCGCGUGUAGCAGUGAAAUGCGUAGAUAUGCGGAGGAACACCGAUGGCGAAGGCAAUCCCCUGGACCUGUACUGACGCUCAUGCACGAAAGCGUGGGGAGCAAACAGG
rnacentral:rRNA from 1 species